CCCUUAGAUGUUCUGGGCCGCACGCGCGCUACACUGACGAUGGCAACGAGUUUUUCCUUCGCCGAAAGGUGUGGGUAAUCUUUUGAAACAUCGUCGUGCUGGGGAUAGAUCAUUGCAAUUUUUGAUCUUGAACGAGGAAUUCCUAGUAAGCGCGAGUCAUCAGCUCGCGUUGAUUACGUCCCUGCCCUUUGUACACACCGCCCGUCGCUACUACCGAUUGAAUGGUCCGGUGAAGUCCUCGGACCCAGUUGAACCUCGAGUUGAACAGGGAAAGUUGACUAAAUCUUACCAUUUAGAGGAAGGUGAAGUCGUAACA
rnacentral:rRNA from 1 species